rnacentral:rRNA from 1 species
AGCGAACGCUGGCGGCAGGCUUAACACAUGCAAGUCGAACGCCCCGCAAGGGGAGUGGCAGACGGGUGGGUAACACGUGGGAACGUACCCUUUGGUUCGGAAUAACUUGGAGAAACUCAAGCUAAUACCGGAUAAGCCCUUAUGGGGAAAGGUUUACUGCCGAGGGAUCGGCCCGCGUCUGAUUAGCUAGUUGGUGAGGUAGUGGCUCACCAAGGCGACGAUCAGUAGCUGGUCUGAGAGGAUGAUCAGCCACACUGGGACUGAGACACGGCCCAGACUCCUACGGGAAGCAGCAGUGGGGAAUAUUGGACAAUGGGGGCAACCCUGAUCCAGCCAUGCCGCGUGAGUGAUGAAGGCCUUAGGGUUGUAAAGCUCUUUUACCCGGGACGAUAAUGACUGUACCGGGAGAAUAAGCCCCGGCUAACUUCGUGCCAGCCGCCGCAGUAAAAC